CCUGCCUGUAAGACUGGGAUAACUCCGGGAAACCGGAGCUAAUACCGGAUAACAUUUUUUCUUGCAUAAGAGAAAAUUGAAAGAUGGUUUCGGCUAUCACUUACAGAUGGGCCCGCGGUGCAUUAGCUAGUUGGUGAGGUAACGGCUCACCAAGGCGACGAUGCAUAGCCGACCUGAGAGGGUGAUCGGCCACACUGGGACUGAGACACGGCCCAGACUCCUACGGGAGGCAGCAGUAGGGAAUCUUCCGCAAUGGACGAAAGUCUGACGGAGCAACGCCGCGUGAGUGAUGAAGGCUUUCGGGUCGUAAAACUCUGUUGUUAGGGAAGAACAAGUACAAGAGUAACUGCUUGUACCUUGACGGUACCUAACCAGAAAGCCACGGCUAACUACGUGCCAGCAGCCGCGGUAAUACGUAGGUGGCAAGCGUUAUCCGGAAUUAUUGGGCGUAAAGCGCGCGCAGGCGGUUUCUUAAGUCUGAUGUGAAAGCCCACGGCUCAACCGUGGAGGGUCAUUGGAAACUGGGGAACUUGAGUGCAGAAGAGAAAAGCGGAAUUCCACGUGUAGCGGUGAAAUGCGUAGAGAUGUGGAGGAACACCAGUGGCGAAGGCGGCUUUUUGGUCUGUAACUGACGCUGAGGCGCGAAAGCGUGGGGAGCAUACAGGAUUAGAUACCCUGGUAGUCCACGCCGUACACGAUGAGUGCUAAGUGUUAGAGGGUUUCCGCCCUUUAGUGCUGCAGCUAACGCAUUAAGCACUCCGCCUGGGGAGUACGGUCGCAAGACUGAAACUCACAGGAAUUGACGGGGGCCCGCACAAGCGGUGGAGCAUGUGGUUUAAUUCGGAGCAACGCGAAGAACCUUACCAGGUCGUGACAUCCUCUGACAACUCUAGAGAUAGAGCGUUCCCCUUCGGGAGACAGACUGACUGGUGGUGCAUGGUUGUCGUCAGCUCGUGUCG
rnacentral:rRNA from 1 species